rnacentral:tRNA from 1 species
UCCUUGGUGGUUCAGAGGGUUAAGAAUCUGCCUGCAAUGCAGGAGACCCAGGUUCAAUUCCUGGAUCGGGAA